CUGAACCAGCCAAGUAGCGUGAAGGAUGACUGCCCUAUGGGUUGUAAACUUCUUUUAUAAAGGAAUAAAGUCGGGUAUGCAUACCCGUUUGCAUGUACUUUAUGAAUAAGGAUCGGCUAACUCCGUGCCAGCAGCCGCGGUAAUACGGAGGAUCCGAGCGUUAUCCGGAUUUAUUGGGUUUAAAGGGAGUGUAGAUGGAUGUUUAAGUCAGUUGUGAAAGUUUGCGG
rnacentral:rRNA from 1 species